AAGAGUACCGGCGCUUUCGGGUGCCUACUCCCACCAAAUGUAAACCGAAUAAACUGUUGCUUUGGCGGACCGGUAGCUCUCUACCCUCCGGCUCCGGCUGGAGAGCGUCCGCCAGAGGAUUUUCAAACCCGCUUAAACUGUGGCAUCUGAGUCUUUACAAAUAAAGUUA
rnacentral:misc_RNA from 1 species